UACGAAGGACCCGAGCGUUAUCCGGAUUUAUUGGGUUUAAAGGGUACGUAGGCGGAUUUAUAAGUCAGUGGUGAAAUCUCCCAGCUCAACUGGGAAACUGCCAUUGAAACUGUUUAUCUUGAGUACAUUUGAGGCGGGCGGAAUGUGUCAUGUAGAGGUGAAAUUCUUAGAUAUGACACAGAACACCAAUUGCGAAGGCAGCUCGCUAAACUGUAACUGACGCUGAGGCACGAAAGCGUGGGGAUCAAACAGG
rnacentral:rRNA from 1 species